rnacentral:rRNA from 1 species
UACAGAGGUCCCAAGCGUUGUUCGGAUUCAUUGGGCGUAAAGGGUGCGUAGGCGGCGCGGUAAGUCGAGUGUGAAAUCUCGGGGCUUAACUCCGAAACUGCAUUCGAUACUGCGGUGCUUGAGGACUGGAGAGGAGACUGGAAUUCAUGGUGUAGCAGUGAAAUGCGUAGAUAUCGUAAGGAAGACCAGUGGCGAAGGCGGGUCUCUGGACAGUUCCUGACACUGAGACACGAAGGCCAGGGGAGCAAACGGG